CACGCCCUAAACGAUGUCGACUAGUUGUUCGGAGCGGUAACGCACUGAGUAACGUAGCUAACGCGUGAAGUCGACCGCCUGGGGAGUACGGUCGCAAGAUUAAAACUCAAAGGAAUUGAC
rnacentral:rRNA from 1 species